rnacentral:rRNA from 1 species
CUUUCCCUCUGGCGGCAGGCCUAACACAUGCAAGUCGAGCGGAUGAAGGGAGCUUGCUCCUGGAUUCAGCGGCGGACGGGUGAGUAAUGCCUAGGAAUCUGCCUGGUAGUGGGGGAUACCGUCCGGAAACGGGCGCUAACUCCGAAUACGUCCUGUGGGAGAACGUGGGGAGUCUUCGGACCCCACGUUAUCAGAUGAGCCGAGGUCGGAUUAGCAAGGUGGUGGGGUAAAGGCCUACCAAGGCGACGAUCCGUAACUGGUCUGAGAGGAUGAUCAGUCACACUGGAACUGAGACACGGUCCAGACUCCUACGGGAGGCAGCAGUGGGGAAUAUUGGACAAUGGGCGAAAGCCCGAUCCAGCCAUGCCGCGUGUGUGAAGAAGGUCUUCGGAUUGUAAAGCACUUUAAGUUGGGAGGAAGGGCAGUAAGUUAAUACCUUGCUGUUUUGACGUUACCAACAGAAUAAGCACCGGCUAACUUCGUG